CAGGAAGCCGGUGCGAAUCCGGCGCGGUCCCGCCACUGUCACCGGGGAGUCGACCUCAGCACACGGUCACGGCGGCGAGGAUGGCCGUUGGAAGACCGAGGGCAGGCGUUGAUCCGGGAGCCAGGAUACUG
rnacentral:ncRNA from 2 species